ACACUAAAGGACCUAAACUAAC
rnacentral:miRNA from 1 species